rnacentral:rRNA from 1 species
GACGAACGCUGGCGGCGUGCUUAACACAUGCAAGUCGAACGCUGAAGGCCCAGCUUGCUGGGUUGGAUGAGUGGCGAACGGGUGAGUAACACGUGAGUAACCUGCCCCCUUCUUUGGGAUAACGGUCGGAAACGGCUGCUAAUACCGGGUAUUCACUGUCCUUCGCAUGGGGGGUGGUGGAAAGGUUUUUUCUGGUGGGGGAUGGGCUCGCGGCCUAUCAGCUUGUUGGUGGGGUGAUGGCUUACCAAGGCUUUGACGGGUAACCGGCCUGAGAGGGUGACCGGUCACAUUGGGACUGAGAUACGGCCCAGACUCCUACGGGAGGCAGCAGUGGGGAAUAUUGCACAAUGGGCGAAAGCCUGAUGCAGCGACGCCGCGUGAGGGAUGACGGCCUUCGGGUUGUAAACCUCUUUCGCUCAUGGUCAAGCCGCAACAGUGGUUGUGGUGAGGGUAGUGGGUAAAGAAGCACCGGCUAACUACGUGCCAGCAGCCGCGGUAAUACGUAGGGUGCGAGCGUUGUCCGGAAUUAUUGGGCGUAAAGGGCUUGUAGGCGGUUUGUCGCGUCUGCCGUGAAAUCCUCUGGCUUAACUGGGGGCGUGCGGUGGGUACGGGCAGGCUUGAGUGCGGUAGGGGAGACUGGAACUCCUGGUGUAGCGGUGGAAUGCGCAGAUAUCAGGAAGAACACCGGUGGCGAAGGCGGGUCUCUGGGCCGUUACUGACGCUGAGGAGCGAAAGCGUGGGGAGCGAACAGG